AUGCUGCUGUACGUCGCCUUGGGGCUGCUCGUGCACCUCGUGUUCUUCGCCUCCAUCUUCGACAUUUAUUUCACCUCUCCUUUGGUUCAUGGAAUGACUCCUCGGUUUACGCCCCUGCCUCCCCCGGCAAAAAGACUGAUGCUGUUUGUUGCUGACGGCCUGCGAGCAGAUAAGCUUUAUGAAUUAGAUGAAGAUGGGAAUUCUAGGGCGCCAUUUCUUAGGAAUGUCAUAAUGAACGAAGGCAGCUGGGGGAUCUCUCACACGCAUGUGCCGACCGAGUCUCGGCCCGGGCACGUGGCCAUUAUUGCAGGGUUCUAUGAAGAUGUCAGCGCAGUUGCCAAAGGAUGGAAGGAAAAUCCUGUAGAAUUUGAUUCUCUUCUUAAUGAAACCAGGUACACAUGGUCCUGGGGAAGCCCAGACAUCCUGGCUAUGUUUGCCAAAGGUGACUCUGGAAACCAUAUUUUUACAGACAGUUAUGAUGCAUCCAGUGAGGAUUUUGGUGCCCACGAUGUAACAAAACUGGACACGUGGGUUUUUGAUCAUGUGAAGGAGUUCUUUCACGCUGCCAGAAACAACCAAUCUUUGCUUUCUAAACUAAACGGAGACAGAAUAGUCUUCUUCUUGCAUUUAUUAGGGAUAGACACAAAUGGACAUGCUCAUCGACCAACAUCAAGGGAAUAUUCAGACAAUAUUAAAUUAGUUGAUAAAGAAUUGAAAGAAAUUGAGGCUACUGUCAAAGACUUUUAUGGAAAUGACGGGAAAACAGCAUUUGUCUUCACCGCAGACCAUGGGAUGACCGACUGGGGCUCCCAUGGAGCCGGUCAUCCUUUAGAGACUUGUACUCCUUUUAUCGCUUGGGGAGCUGGAAUCAGGCUUCCCCAAAAAGUGUCAGCUCAGAACUUUGAUGACUCAUAUUUGCAAGAAUGGAAGUUGGAGAACUGGAAGAGACAAGAUAUUAAUCAGGGAAUCAUUCCUGUGGAUAUGCUUAAUACCUCUGAUCUCUUCAAAGCAGAGAGCAUGUUUACAAAUGCAGUACAGAUUCUUGAACAGUUCAAGGUAAAAAUGACUCAGAAAAAAGAAGCUACUUUGUCGUUUUUGUUUACACCAUUUAAGUCGCUAUCUGAUACUAAACAGGCCAACAUUUUAAGAAAAGCAAGAUACUAUAUAAAACAGAAGAAGUAUGAUGAAGCAGUCUCGCUCUGUCGGGAGCUGAUCGACCUCGCCCUGAGAGGCCUGGCCUACUACCACACCUACGACAGGCUCUUCCUGGCCUCCAACGUCGUCCUCGGCUUUGUGGGCUGGAUCUCUUACGCGUCUCUGUUGAUCAUCAAGUCUCACUGCAACCUUACGAGAGGCGUUAGCACAGAGGCCAAGAACCCAAGCCGUCUCCUGCCAUACACUUUUGUAGCCAUUGGCCUUUUCGUCGCGCUUCUACUGCUGAUUCAAGCCUGUCCCUGGACUUACUACGUCUACUGUUUGUUGCCGUUGCCAAUAUGGUACGCGGUUCUCAGAGAAAUCCCAGUUAUUCAAGGCUUUGUCACCGUACUGUUGGCCUUCCGUCCGUGGUGCUUCCUUGGAUACCUCUUGCUCUUUAUCCUGGGAGUUGAAGUAUUGGUGCUCAGCUUUUUCUACCGCUGCACGCUCACAGCGGGACUCGUCGCAUUCGCCGCUUGGCCGUUGAUCACGCCGCUGUGGACUCGAGCAAAGCGCACCUCGCUGAGUUGGAUUCUCUUCUGUUUCCUGCUGGCCGUGUUCCCGCUUUUGCCUGUCGUAGGACGAGAGCCAGACAUCUUCCUAGUAGUAGGUGCAGGCUUGCUGGUUCUUCUGCUAUCCCUGUUUGUUGUAACAUCUGUCAUAAAAAGAAACGAUAGUUUUAUAAAUGAAGAGCUGGUGUUACAUCUAUUACAGAUGCUGAGCAUCGUGCUUUCCGUGUGCGUUGUGUAUGGGACCCAUAAGAGUCUGCUCGAGAAACAGGGACUGCCGCUUCUCAAUCAGAUUGUUAGCUGGACAAUAUUAGCCUCCUCCUUCGUCACGCCUCUCCUGAGCCCUCCCGUCCUCUUCGAUCGACUGUUCAGCAUUCUUCUUGCCUCGAUGUCGACCUACCUACUUCUAAGUACUGGGUGCGAAGCUCUCUUUCCGUUAGUAUUGUCGUGUCUGAUGUUUGUCUGGAUACACCUGGAACAAGAAACCCUGCAGCAAUCUGCUGUUUCCUGUAAACAGAAGGUCUCCACCAUCCAGUUUGCCUGUAACACUGACAUGACCCAGUGUCGAGACCUCUACCUGGAUGACAUCCGCAGGGCCUUUUUCCUUGUUUUCUUCUUAGUGACAGCCUUUUUUGGAACUGGAAAUAUAGCUUCUGUUAACAGCUUUGACCCUUCCUCCGUCUACUGCUUCCUGACCGUGUUCAGUCCUUUCAAGAUGGGAGCCCUGAUAAUGUGGAAGAUUUUAAUCCCCUUUGUUCUUGUGAUGUGUGCUUUUGAAGCUGUUCAGUUAACUACUCAGUUAUCUUCGAAAAGCCUUUUCCUCAUGGUUAUCAACAUAUCAGACAUCAUGGCUUUGCAUUUUUUCUUCUUGAUCAAAGAUUAUGGCAGCUGGCUUGAUAUUGGAACAAGCAUCAGCCACUACGUGAUUGUCAUGUCCAUGACCAUCUUCAUGGUGUUUCUCAACUGCCUAGCUCAGAUGCUCACCACAAAGAAGCUCAGCCUGUGCGGCAGACCCAAAAGCCACGUCACAUAA
rnacentral:lncRNA from 1 species